rnacentral:lncRNA from 1 species
CCAGAUUCACCUGCAUAACGAUAACACUAGGAGAGUUAAGAACUGGAAAACUUUUAAUUCAACCAAAAAUAGAAAACACAAACAAUAUUUCAACACUUGUGUUUGUUACUCACAAAUUUUGACAAAAUUUACAGAUCCCGUUUCACAAUUGACAGAGGGAAGCAAUUUUAUACCUUCUUAGCCUUGAUCCGUGGCUGGCUGUUUAAAAUCUCAACCGCCAUCUCUGGUUGUCGAUCGAGGUUCCCCUGCAAACACAGACAUGUAGAGUUGAUUGAAUAAAAACCCCUAAUUUGUCGAUCAAGUGAAUUUCACUCGUCUGCUUCACUAAAUAAAAACCCCUAAUAUGUCUUUUCAAAGCUGCAAACCCCUAAUGAUAUGUUACACACCUGACCCAGAAAGCGUUUGCAAACUUCCACAACAAAACCCCAAAAUUGGAAGAUAAACGUUUCCUGCAACCAAAAAUGAAAUCAAACAAAAGAUCCACACGCAAAUCAGCAAAAAGUAUAGAAAGCAUUUAGCAAGAAUCGAAUUUUACAACAAUCAAUUAAAAUUUUUUAUCACCAACCAAACACAAAACAACGUCUCACACUAACCAAAGCACCAAAACCGUUGCGAUUCCUCCACAGAAAACAGCGGGAAAAAACAGGCUAACCACCCUUCUAAACGAUCGGAUCGUGAUGAAAACACCAAGACACACACAGAGAUACAUAGAAAUAGAAAG